UGCAGCAAAUAAUUGAGGGGGACACUUCUUCAUCUCCAGUGAUUACAGAACCUUCAGGAUCCUGAGUCAGGAGCGAGGAGGCAUUCAUAGUUAGGACUUGAAUAUAAUCUUCAUUGUCCAUGAAGAAGUUUCCAAAAGGAUUUUCGUCCCUGUAAAGAAACUGGCAAGAUGCUAUGCUGAAAAGCUGCAUUUACAUCCUCCUUGAAGACAUGUGUGACUGAUACAUUUUAAGUAAAGUCCCUCUGCUAUUUUCUUUGUCCCCAUCUUUAACAAUGGUGAAGGCUGAGGUUGCAGCAGUGAUUUUUGAACCAUGCAGCAAUCUUGAGGAUGGGAAACACAACUCACAGUGGAAUGGAAAGGCAAAAUCAUCCUGCUUUUUUGACGACUUGAAAGAGACUCUCAACUAGCCCGGUACUGCCUGCAUGAA